rnacentral:rRNA from 1 species
GAUGAACGCUGGCGGCGUGCCUAAUACAUGCAAGUCGAGCGAACAGACGAGGAGCUUGCUCCUCUGACGUUAGCGGCGGACGGGUGAGUAACACGUGGAUAACCUACCUAUAAGACUGGGAUAACUUCGGGAAACCGGAGCUAAUACCGGAUAAUAUAUUGAACCGCAUGGUUCAAUAGUGAAAGACGGUUUUGCUGUCACUUAUAGAUGGAUCCGCGCCGCAUUAGCUAGUUGGUAAGGUAACGGCUUACCAAGGCAACGAUGCGUAGCCGACCUGAGAGGGUGAUAGGCCACACUGGAACUGAGACACGGACCAGACGCCUACGGGAGGCAGCAGUAGGGAAUCUGCCGCAAUGGGCGGAAGCCUGACGGAGCAACGCCGCGUGAGUGAUGAAGGUCUUCGGAUCGUAAAACUCUGUUAUUAGGGAAGAACAAAUGUGUAAGUAACUAUGCACGUCUUGACGGUACCUAAUCAGAAAGCCACGGCUAACUACGUG